UAAUAAGAAAAUCUUGACGAAAUUCAAGUGGAUGAUCAUACCAGCAAAUUUGGCAUCUCGUUCCAAUUCCAAAUGCCAUAUCUCACGAUAUAAGCAACCAGCUUUUGGUCUUCAUCAGGAGUCCAUGU